GAGUUCGCCAAGGACAGCGUCCGCCUCGUCAAGCACUGCGAUAAGCCUUACCGCAAGGAGAUCACCAAGGUGCCGGCGCAGACGACGAUCGGGUUCGUCGUCAUGGGAUUCGCUGGCUUCUUCGUCAAACUCAUCUUCAUCCCCAUCAACAACAUCAUCAUCGAGCAUAGCUUCUCUGAUCUCGUUCGCGUCUCUGAUCUCGUCCACGACCGCGACCGCGACGGAAGCCUCCUCUGCUCGCCGGUACGGAUUCCCCCACCCCUUCCUCCAGCCCUGGCCGGCCGGCCGAGGUUCUGA
rnacentral:rRNA from 1 species